rnacentral:lncRNA from 1 species
GGCUCUGGUUACUCAGUGGCUGAAAACAAGACAAAGAAGUGUGUCUUUUGCAGGAGCCAAGCUGAGGGCACACCCUGAGAAAGCCAGAAGUGAAGGACCAGAUGGAAGAAAUUUGAAACAAGUGGAGCAGGAAACUUGCCCGGAAUGGAAACAGUAAAGGUACUUAGGCCUCAGCUGGGAACUGUGCAUCCAGAGGCACAGAAGCUGUCACCCUACCAUCCCCAGAGCUGUGAGACAGGGAAAACAGCAAGAGAUGAGAAGCACUGGGACAAGCAAGCCACUGUUGGGUG